rnacentral:rRNA from 2 species
CCGUAAACCCAAGGUUUCCUACGCGAUGCUCGUCAUCGUAGGGUUAGUCGGGUCCUAAGUCGAGUCCGAAAGGGGUAGACGAUGGCAAAUUGGUUAAUAUUCCAAUACCAACAUUAGUGUGCCAUGGAAGGACGCUUAGGGCUAAGGGGGCUAGCGGAUGGAAGUGCUAGUCUAAGGUCGUAGGAGGUUAUACAGGCAAAUCCGUAUAACAAUACUCCGAGAACUGAAAGGCUUUUUGAAGUCUUCGGAUGGAUAGAAGAACCCCUGAUGCCGUCGAGCCAAGAAAAGUUUCUAAGUUUAGCUAAUGUUGCCCGUACCGUAAACCGACACAGGUGGGUGGGAUGAGUAUUCUAAGGCGCGUGGAAGAACUCUCUUUAAGGAACUCUGCAAAAU